rnacentral:rRNA from 2 species
CGAACUCUGGUAUUGAUUGGUGCUUGCAUCAUGAUUUACAUUUGAGUGAGUGGCGAACUGGUGAGUAACACGUGGGAAACCUGCCCAGAAGCGGGGGAUAACACCUGGAAACAGAUGCUAAUACCGCAUAACAACUUGGACCGCAUGGUCCGAGUUUGAAAGAUGGCUUCGGCUAUCACUUUUGGAUGGUCCCGCGGCGUAUUAGCUAGAUGGUGGGGUAACGGCUCACCAUGGCAAUGAUACGUAGCCGACCUGAGAGGGUAAUCGGCCACAUUGGGACUGAGACACGGCCCAAACUCCUACGGGAGGCAGCAGUAGGGAAUCUUCCACAAUGGACGAAAGUCUGAUGGAGCAACGCCGCGUGAGUGAAGAAGGGUUUCGGCUCGUAAAACUCUGUUGUUAAAGAAGAACAUAUCUGAGAGUAACUGUUCAGGUAUUGACGGUAUUUAACCAGAAAGCCACGGCUAACUACGUGCCAGCAGCCGCGGUAAUACGUAGGUGGCAAGCGUUGUCCGGAUUUAUUGGGCGUAAAGCGAGCGCAGGCGGUUUUUUAAGUCUGAUGUGAAAGCCUUCGGCUCAACCGAAGAAGUGCAUCGGAAACUGGGAAACUUGAGUGCAGAAGAGGACAGUGGAACUCCAUGUGUAGCGGUGAAAUGCGUAGAUAUAUGGAAGAACACCAGUGGCGAAAGCGGCUGUCUGGUCUGUAACUGACGCUGAGGCUCGAAAGUAUGGGUAGCAAACAGGAUUAGAUACCCUGGUAGUCCAUACCGUAAACGAUGAAUGCUAAGUGUUGGAGGGUUUCCGCCCUUCAGUGCUGCAGCUAACGCAUUAAGCAUUCCGCCUGGGGAGUACGGCCGCAAGGCUGAAACUCAAAGGAAUUGACGGGGGCCCGCACAAGCGGUGGAGCAUGUGGUUUAAUUCGAAGCUACGCGAAGAACCUUACCAGGUCUUGACAUACUAUGCAAAUCUAAGAGAUUAGACGUUCCCUUCGGGGACAUGGAUACAGGUGGUGCAUGGUUGUCGUCAGCUCGUGUCGUGAGAUGUUGGGUUAAGUCCCGCAACGAGCGCAACCCUUAUUAUCAGUUGCCAGCAUUAAGUUGGGCACUCUGGUGAGACUGCCGGUGACAAACCGGAGGAAGGUGGGGAUGACGUCAAAUCAUCAUGCCCCUUAUGACCUGGGCUACACACGUGCUACAAUGGAUGGUACAACGAGUUGCGAACUCGCGAGAGUAAGCUAAUCUCUUAAAGCCAUUCUCAGUUCGGAUUGUAGGCUGCAACUCGCCUACAUGAAGUCGGAAUCGCUAGUAAUCGCGGAUCAGCAUGCCGCGGUGAAUACGUUCCCGGGCCUUGUACACACCGCCCGUCACACCAUGAGAGUUUGUAACACCCAAAGUCGGUGGGGUAACCUUUUAGGAACCAGCCGC